AGUCGAACGAACUCUGGUAUUGAUUGGUGCUUGCAUCAUGAUUUACAUUUGAGUGAGUGGCGAACUGGUGAGUAACACGUGGGAAACCUGCCCAGAAGCGGGGGAUAACACCUGGAAACAGAUGCUAAUACCGCAUAACAACUUGGACCGCAUGGUCCGAGCUUGAAAGAUGGCUUCGGCUAUCACUUUUGGAUGGUCCCGCGGCGUAUUAGCUAGAUGGUGGGGUAACGGCUCACCAUGGCAAUGAUACGUAGCCGACCUGAGAGGGUAAUCGGCCACAUUGGGACUGAGACACGGCCCAAACUCCUACGGGAGGCAGCAGUAGGGAAUCUUCCACAAUGGACGAAAGUCUGAUGGAGCAACGCCGCGUGAGUGAAGAAGGGUUUCGGCUCGUAAAACUCUGUUGUUAAAGAAGAACAUAUCUGAGAGUAACUGUUCAGGUAUUGACGGUAUUUAACCAGAAAGCCACGGCUAACUACGUGCCAGCAGCCGCGGUAAUACGUAGGUGGCAAGCGUUGUCCGGAUUUAUUGGGCGUAAAGCGAGCGCAGGCGGUUUUUUAAGUCUGAUGUGAAAGCCUUCGGCUCAACCGAAGAAGUGCAUCGGAAACUGGGAAACUUGAGUGCAGAAGAGGACAGUGGAACUCCAUGUGUAGCGGUGAAAUGCGUAGAUAUAUGGAAGAACACCAGUGGCGAAGGCGGCUGUCUGGUCUGUAACUGACGCUGAGGCUCGAAAGUAUGGGUAGCAAACAGGAUUAGAUACCCUGGUAGUCCAUACCGUAAACGAUGAAUGCUAAGUGUUGGAGGGUUUCCGCCCUUCAGUGCUGCAGCUAACGCAUUAAGCAUUCCGCCUGGGGAGUACGGCCGCAAGGCUGAAACUCAAAGGAAUUGACGGGGGCCCGCACAAGCGGUGGAGCAUGUGGUUUAAUUCGAAGCUACGCGAAGAACCUUACCAGGUCUUGACAUACUAUGCAAAUCUAAGAGAUUAGACGUUCCCUUCGGGGACAUGGAUACAGGUGGUGCAUGGUUGUCGUCAGCUCGUGUCGUGAGAUGUUGGGUUAAGUCCCGCAACGAGCGCAACCCUUAUUAUCAGUUGCCAGCAUUAAGUUGGGCACUCUGGUGAGACUGCCGGUGACAAACCGGAGGAAGGUGGGGAUGACGUCAAAUCAUCAUGCCCCUUAUGACCUGGGCUACACACGUGCUACAAUGGAUGGUACAACGAGUUGCGAACUCGCGAGAGUAAGCUAAUCUCUUAAAGCCAUUCUCAGUUCGGAUUGUAGGCUGCAACUCGCCUACAUGAAGUCGGAAUCGCUAGUAAUCGCGGAUCAGCAUGCCGCGGUGAAUACGUUCCCGGGCCUUGUACACACCGCCCGUCACACCAUGAGAGUUUGUAACACCCAAAGUCGGUGGGGUAACCUUUU
rnacentral:rRNA from 2 species